rnacentral:lncRNA from 1 species
GAAAUUAAAGUUGCUUAAAGAGGGUUGUGGAUUCUUCUUGUUUCCAAGACUCAUUAGGACUUCUACACGCGACGUUUCAUCUUUUCCAUCUAUCUUAUUUAUUUUAUUUUUUUAUUGUUAUAAGUUUUGAUUUAUUAUUCUAUUUUAUUUAUCUUGGUUAUUUAUUUCAAUUUUUUUCUUCAAAUUUUUUAUUUGACUUGGAUUUGUUUGCGUUUCAGGUUGUGUCAAAAUCCAAGUUUAUUUCCGAACAUUUAGAGCUCUAAGUAAAAUCAACUUGGAAAAACUUUACGAUCCUGUCUUCCACACUCACCCGUAUCAUUUGGUAUCAUUCGUAUCAUUCCCUUUUGUUAGUUGUUUUGGGAAUGUAAUAGGACCUUACGGUGUUGAUUGGUUUAAUGUUGAUGUAUGGUUGGUUCGAGUAUUAUACUAAAAGUAUUUUGGCAUAUAUGGUAUGUCAGACAUGUGCUUGGGUUGAUAGUUGAACUUUGAACUUAAAUUACAUGCUGAAUAGUUGUUGUUAAAUGGUAAUUUUUACUUAGGGGGUCAAAUCUUGAUUUAGUGUGUUUGGGAGCAUUUUUUUAUUAUAUAUUUUAGACUUGAUUUAGUCUGUUAAAUUUGUUGGUAAUGUUUUGGUGGACAUAUGACAUGGUUUUAAAGGUGUUUUAGGUCUUAGUUUGUGACUUAAAGAAUCUUUUUUUUUUUGUAGUUUUUUAGGUUUGGGAUGAGGUUUGAAACCUCAGACCCAAAGUAUAGAAACAUAG